rfam:Cricetulus griseus cell line CHO-K1, whole genome shotgun sequence.
GUCUAUGGCCAUACCACCCUGAACGCGCCCAAUCUCAUCUGAUCUCGGAAGCUAAACAGGAUCGGGCCCGGUUACUACUUGGAUGGGAAAAACUCAACUAAUUAUGUCCU